rnacentral:ncRNA from 1 species
CCUGCCGUGUCACCGGUGGAAUCUAGGAGCCUGAAUCAAGAGCGGCUCCGACAACGUAACGAAGCAUCGUAAGGUGCGGGGUAUCAAUCGCGAGAGGCGUACCCUUCUGGCAGCCACGCGCCGGUGAAGUGC